rnacentral:tRNA from 1 species
GGAGGGGUGCCCGAGCGGUUGAAGGCGACGGUCUUGAAAACCGUUGGGCGCAAGCCUCGUGGGUUCGAAUCCCACCCCCUCCG